AACGAACGCUGGCGGCAGGCCUAACACAUGCAAGUCGAGCGAAGCCUUCGGGCUUAGCGGCGGACGGGUGAGUAACGCGUGGGAACGUGCCCUUUGGUACGGAAUAGCCCCGGGAAACUGGGAGUAAUACCGUAUGUGGUCGAGAGACGAAAGAUUUAUCGCCAAAGGAUCGGCCCGCGUUGGAUUAGGUAGUUGGUGGGGUAAUGGCCUACCAAGCCGACGAUCCAUAGCUGGUUUGAGAGGAUGAUCAGCCACCCUGGGACUGAGACACGGGCAGGAGUACUACGGGAGGCAGCAGUGGGGACUCUUAGAUGAUGGGGGAACGCCUGACAUAGACAUGUCGAGAGAAGGAUGAACGUCAUAGCGUUGUGAAAAUCUUACAGUGCAGAAGGUAAUGACACUAGCAGCAGAAGAAGCCACGGGUGAAUUCGUGCCAGCCGCCGCCGUAACAC
rnacentral:rRNA from 1 species